rnacentral:rRNA from 1 species
UACGUAGGCAGCAAGCGUUGUUCGGAGUUACUGGGCGUAAAGGGUGCGUGGGCGGCUUUUUAAGUUAGAGGUGAAAGCCCGGGGCUCAACUCCGGAAUUGCCUUUAAGACUGCAUCGCUAGAAUUGUGGAGAGGUAAGUGGAAUUCCGAGUGUAGAGGUGAAAUUCGUAGAUAUUCGGAAGAACACCAGUGGCGAAGGCGACUUACUGGACACAUAUUGACGCUGAGGUGCGAAAGCGUGGGGAGCAAACAGG